AUGACGCGCGCGGAUUGGAUGCCCUUCCUCGAUCAGAUCAGAAAGAUCAACCCGGCAUGGCAGCGGGGUCUCAUCCAACGCUCGGGACGGCUGAUCCUAGCUAAAACCGUGAUCUCUGCUCGGCCGAUUCAUCAACUUCAUGUUCUGAACGCACCGGACUGGGUCUUGGAAGAGAUUGAUAAGUGCAUGAGGUGCGCGCGCAACCGCUCCGGGAGCUCCAGUGGAGGCGCAAUAACCGCGUGCGCGGUCCGAAACGCCAUCACGCACCGGUUUUUUGGUGCGCCCGCUCCCGCGCGCUGCACACUCGUGCACCCGCUCCGCACCCCCUCCGUCGUGCCGCUUUUGCCCUGCCCGAGCCGUUGCCGACGAAUUCGCCCGAUGGACGGACGCGCCGACAUCCCCCUCACCCCUUCCUACGCCUGCGACCCCUCCGCCGCCGCCGUGGCAUGGGAGCCAUGGGUGGCUUCGGAGCUACCAUGGGCGGCAUGGGUGGCUUCAGAGCUACCAUGGGGGCCAUGGGAGGCACGGGUGGCUUCGAAGCUACCAUGGGAGGCAUGA
rnacentral:rRNA from 1 species